UACGUAGGGUGCGAGCGUUGUCCGGAAUUAUUGGGCGUAAAGAGCUCGUAGGCGGUGUGUCACGUCGUUCGUGAAAACCUGCAGCUUAACUGUGGGCGUGCGGUCGAUACGGGCAUCACUGGAGUCCGGCAGGGGAGACUGGAAUUCCUGGUGUAGCGGUGAAAUGCGCAGAUAUCAGGAGGAACACCGGUGGCGAAGGCGGGUCUCUGGGCAGUAACUGACGCUGAGGAGCGAAAGCGUGGGGAGCGAACAGG
rnacentral:rRNA from 1 species